rnacentral:rRNA from 1 species
AUUGAACGCUGGCGGCAGGCCUAACACAUGCAAGUCGAACGGUAACAGGAAACAGCUUGCUGUUUCGCUGACGAGUGGCGGACGGGUGAGUAAUGUCUGGGAAACUGCCUGAUGGAGGGGGAUAACUACUGGAAACGGUAGCUAAUACCGCAUAACGUCGCAAGACCAAAGAGGGGGACCUUCGGGCCUCUUGCCAUCGGAUGUGCCCAGAUGGGAUUAGCUAGUAGGUGGGGUAACGGCUCACCUAGGCGACGAUCCCUAGCUGGUCUGAGAGGAUGACAGCCACACUGGAACUGAGACACGGUCCAGACUCCUACGGGAGGCAGCAGUGGGGAAUAUUGCACAAUGGGCGCAAGCCUGAUGCAGCCAUGCCGCGUGUAUGAAGAAGGCCUUCGGGUUGUAAAGUACUUUCAGCGGGGAGGAAGGGAGUAAAGUUAAUACCUUUGCUCAUUGACGUUACCCGCGGAAGAAGCACCGGCUAACUCCGUGCCAGCCGCCGCAGUAA